UACAGAGAGUGCAAACGUUGUUCGGAAUUACUGGGCUUGAAGCGCACGUAGGCGGCGUUGUAAGUGUCGGGUGAAAUCCCACGGCUCACCCGUGGAACUGCCCGGCAUACUGCGAUGCUAGAGUGUGGUAGGGGAGAGCGGAACUCCUGGUGGAGCGGUGAAAUGCGCAGAUAUCAGGAGGAACACCAAUGGCGAAGGCAGCUCGCUGGGACGUGACUGACGCUGAGACGCGAAAGCGUGGGGAGCAAACAGG
rnacentral:rRNA from 1 species